AACGAACGCUGGCGGCAUGCCUAACACAUGCAAGUCGAACGAGACCUUCGGGUCUAGUGGCGCACGGGUGCGUAACGCGUGGGAACCUGCCCUUAGGUUCGGAAUAACUCCCCGAAUGGGGUGCUAAUACCGGAUCAUGUCUUCGGACCAAAGUUUUAUCGCCUUUGGAUGGGCCCGCGUUGUAUUAGCUAGUUGUUAGGGUAAAAGCCUACCACGGCGACGAUCCAUAGCUGGUCUGAGAGGAUGAUCAGCCACACUGGGACUGAGACACGGCCCAGACUAUUACGGGAGGCAGCAGUGGGGAAUAUUGGAAAAUGGGCGAAAGGCUGAUGGAGCAAUGACGGGUGAGUGAUGAAGGCCUUAGGGUUGUAAAGCUCGUUUAUCCGGGAUGAUAAUGACAGUACCGGGAGAAUAAGCUCCGGCUAACUCCGUG
rnacentral:rRNA from 1 species